CCUACGGGUGGCAGCAGUGAGGAAUCUUGGUCAAUGGCCGUAAGGCUGAACCAGCGACGUCGCGUGAAGGAAGGAGGAUCUAUGGUUUGUAAACUUCUUUUAUAGGGGAAUAAAGGUAUCCAAGAGUGGAUAUUGGCAUGUACCCUAUGAAUAAGCAUCGGCUAACUCCGUGCCAGCAGCCGCGGUAAUACGGAGGAUGCGAGCGUUAUCCGGAUUGAUUGGGUGUAAAGGGUGCGUAGGUUGUUUUUUAAGUCAGCGGUGAAAGUUUGUGGCUCAACCAUAAAAUGGCCGUUGAAACUGGAAGACUUGAGUGUGUUUGAGGGAGGCGGAAUGCGUGGUGUAGCGGUGAAAUGCAUAGAUAUCGCGCAGAACUCCGAUUGCGAAGGCAGCUUACUAAGCCAUAACUGACACUGAAGCACGAAAGCGUGGGGAUCAAACAGGAUUAGAUACCCUGGUAGUC
rnacentral:rRNA from 1 species